rnacentral:rRNA from 1 species
AGAGUUUGAUCAUGGCUCAGAACGUACGCUGGCGGCACGCCUAACACAUGCAAGUCGAACGCAGUAGCAAUACUGAGUGGCAGACGGGUGAGUAACAUGUGGGAAUCUGCCUUGUGGUUCAGGACAACAUUGGGAAACCGAUGCUAAUACUGGAUAAGCCCUUACGGGGAAAGUUUUAAUGCCAUAAGAUGAGCCCGCAUUUGAUUAGUUAGUUGGUGAGGUAAUGGCUCACCAAGACAAUGAUCAAUAGCUGAUCUGAGAGGAUGAUCAGCCACACUGGGACUGAGACACGGCCCAGACUCCUACGGGAGGCAGCAGUGGGGAAUCUUGCACAAUGGAGGAAACUCUGAUGCAGCGAUGCCGCGUGAGUGAAGAAGGCCUUUGGGUUGUAAAGCUCUUUUGUAGGGGAAGAUAAUGACUGUACCCUAAGAAUAAGGUCCGGCUAACUUCGUGCCAGCAGCCGCGGUAAUACGAAGGGACCUAGCGUAGUUCGGAAUUACUGGGCGUAAAGCGCGCGUAGGCCGUUGAGUUAGUUAAUUGUGAAAUCCCAAAGCUUAACUUUGGAACUGCAAUUAAAACUGCUCGACUAGAGUUUGAUAGAGGAAAGCGGAAUACAUAGUGUAGAGGUGAAAUUCGUAGAUAUUAUGUAGAACACCAGUUGCGAAGGCGGCUUUCUGGAUCAACACUGACGCUGAGGCGCGAAAGUAUGGGUAGCAAAGAGGAUUAGAUACCCUCGUAGUCCAUACCAUAAACGAUGAUUGCUAGAUGUUGGAAAUUUAUUUUCAGUAUCGCAGCUAACGCAUUAAGCAAUCCGCCUGGGGAGUACGACCGCAAGGUUAAAACUCAAAUGAAUUGACGGGGACCCGCACAAGCGGUGGAGCAUGUGGUUUAAUUCGAAGAUACGCGCAGAACCUUACCAACCCUUGA